AGGAUAAACGCUGGCGGCGUGCCUUAUGCAUGCAAGUCGAACGUGAAGCCGACUUCGGUUGGUGGAAAGUGGCGAACGGGUGAGUAACACGUAGGAACCUGCCCGGAAGUGGGGGAUAACUCCGCGAAAGCGGGGCUAAUACCGCAUGUGGUCGAAAGAUUAAAGCUUCGGCGCUUCCGGAGGGGCCUGCGGCGGAUUAGCUAGUUGGUGGGUAACGCCUACAAGGCGACGAUCCGUAGCUGGUCUGAGAGGAUGGUCAGCCACACUGGAACUGAGACACGGUCCAGACUCCUACGGGAGGCAGCAGCAAGGAAUUUUGCGCAAUGGGCGAAAGCCUGACGCAGCAACGCCGCGUGGGGGAAGAAGGCCUUCGGGUGUAAACCCCUUUUGCGAGGGAAGAAGAUCUGACGGUACCUCGCGAAUAAGCCAACGGCUAAACUACGUGCCAGCAGCCGC
rnacentral:rRNA from 1 species